rnacentral:lncRNA from 10 species
GACUGUUUCCCUUUUCUGGUCUCUGUCUUCCCCUCGCCUCACUCAGUGUUUUUUUUUUUUUUUUUUUUCUGAGACGGGGGUCUCUCUCAGUUGCCCAGGCUGGAGUGCAGUGGUGUGAUCACAGCUCACGUGCAGUGGCACGAUCUCGGCUCACUGCAACCUCUGCCUCCUGGGCUCAAGCAGUUCUCCUGUCUCAGCCUCCCAAGUAGAUGGGACUACAGGCA